CCUACAAGGCUCGGUUUAUUACUCAACUCUGCUGCCAAGGCCUCGUGGAAGCAGCCGAGGAAUCGAUGGAAGGGCCUGUAAAGGCUGUCGCUUGAGAUGAGAUCAAAACAGCGAACACGACAGACUGAGCUGCAUUCCCCUCAGGUGAUGACGGAGAUAAUCCACGAGCAGCCGAGCACAGACGAUAAGGUCGGACUCACACUGACACACACGCGCACACACACACGCAUGCACUCACAAUGGCCUCGUCUCAAAUGUACGCGCACAACCACAGCUCUAAUCCUCCCUGCAUGAUUGACAGAUGAGAGGGGGGGGCGUUAAGUGGCAGGGUGACAGCAUAAUGACAGUUCUUAGGAAACACACACACACACA
ensembl:lncRNA